rnacentral:lncRNA from 7 species
AGUGCUACGUUUCCGCACCGGCGCACCGCGUCACGCCGUGGUCGCGCGCGGCCACGCGCGCAGGCGGAGGCGGGCGCCGUCGCGCCGACGUGCCACCGGUGCCGCGUCGCCAUCAAACGCCGAUCCCUGGCCAAAACCGGCACGCUACGUAUUGCCCCUGGCCCGACGUCGAGCCCAAAAACCAAAAAAGCUCAAUCGGUCUCGCCGUGGCGUGCCGGCGUCAGCGUGGGAGCCGACCCCGUCAAUCAAUCAUGGACGUGUUAGUUUUGCGCCAACUUGUUAAUGACCAAUCGUAGAUGGCGGUGUUUUCUUAAUCUUACACUACGUGUAGUCGCAUGGACCUGGACGCGACGCCACGAGAUGCGACGUUUGAGCCUUGAGGGAGGAUUAGAUUAGGGCGUCGUUGGCUCUCGUAAGUGGUUUUGGUAUUUUUAUUCGUCGCCGGAUUUUGGCCGGGUCUAUUGGUUCUGGCUGCCGCCACGCCGACGAAGUAGAAUGAACCAGGCUGUUGUUUCUUGUCUUAUCUGAACCACUCUCUACUGUGACGGUCUGACGGGCACAAUAUUAAUUCUUUGCCCAGUGGCCUAAGAGUAUGCAAUUGUAAGCUGUUUUCCCUCACAGAUAUACUAAGUUCUCCCC